rnacentral:rRNA from 1 species
GAUGAACGCUGGCGGCGUGCCUAAUACAUGCAAGUCGAGCGAACAGACGAGGAGCUUGCUCCUCUGACGUUAGCGGCGGACGGGUGAGUAACACGUGGAUAACCUACCUAUAAGACUGGGAUAACUUCGGGAAACCGGAGCUAAUACCGGAUAAUAUAUUGAACCGCAUGGUUCAAUAGUGAAAGACGGUUUUGCUGUCACUUAUAGAUGGAUCCGCGCCGCAUUAGCUAGUUGGUAAGGUAACGGCUUACCAAGGCAACGAUGCGUAGCCGACCUGAGAGGGUGAUCGGCCACACUGGAACUGAGACACGGUCCAGACUCCUACGGGAGGCAGCAGUAGGGAAUCUUCCGCAAUGGGCGAAAGCCUGACGGAGCAACGCCGCGUGAGUGAUGAAGGUCUUCGGAUCGUAAAACUCUGUUAUUAGGGAAGAACAAAUGUGUAAGUAACUAUGCACGUCUUGACGGUACCUGAUCAGAAAGCAACGGCUAACUACGUG